rnacentral:rRNA from 1 species
AGAGUUUGAUCCUGGCUCAGGAUGAACGCUGGCGGCGUGCCUAAUACAUGCAAGUAGAACGCUGAAGCUUGGUGCUUGCACCGAGCGGAGGAGUUGCGAACGGGUGAGUAACGCGUAGGUAACCUGCCUCUUAGCGGGGGAUAACUAUUGGAAACGAUAGCUAAUACCGCAUAAAAGUCGACAUUGCAUGAUGUUGACUUGAAAGGUGCAACUGCAUCACUAAGAGAUGGACCUGCGUUGUAUUAGCUAGUUGGUGAGGUAACGGCUCACCAAGGCGACGAUACAUAGCCGACCUGAGAGGGUGAUCGGCCACACUGGGACUGAGACACGGCCCAGACUCCUACGGGAGGCAGCAGUAGGGAAUCUUCGGCAAUGGACGGAAGUCUGACCGAGCAACGCCGCGUGAGUGAAGAAGGUUUUCGGAUCGUAAAGCUCUGUUGUAAGAGAAGAACGAGUGUGAGAGUGGAAAGUUCACACUGUGACGGUAACUUACCAGAAAGGGACGGCUAAUUACGUGCCAGCAGCCGCGGUAAUACGUAGGUCCCGAGCGUUAUCCGGAUUUAUUGGGCGUAAAGCGAGCGCAGGCGGCUAGAUAAGUCUGAAGUUAAAGGCUGCGGCUUAACCAUAGUACGCUUUGGAGACUGUUUAACUUGAGUGCAGAAGGGGAGAGUGGAAUUCCAUGUGUAGCGGUGAAAUGCGUAGAUAUAUGGAGGAACACCGGUGGCGAAAGCGGCUCUCUGGUCUGUAACUGACGCUGAGGCUCGAAAGCGUGGGAGCAAACAGGAUUAGAUACCCUGG